CGUACCUUGAUAUUUUUGCCAACAACCAUUUAAAAACAUUACUACUAUUACAUACGCAAUGCAAACACAAUCGAUGGUAAUGUCUUGUCAGAUGAACUAGAUAUUAAAGAUAAAUAGGCGAUCGAAGAACGGCAAUCAUGCUUCGGUAUUUGAGUAUACAGCACCGGAUAAAAUACGAUAUCGAAAUGACCAUUUGAAAACGUUAAAACAAUUACCGGGCCUCAUCGGGCCGGACAUGGAGUAUUGGAAUUAAGUGUAGGGUGAAGUACCGGAAGCCCGUUGUGAUGUGAAGACAGUUAAGUUUGUACUAAAUACUUGCAAGGUCGCUGUGUAAAAGAAGAAAAAGGCGAAUUUAAGAAUUAGGAGGAACAAUUGCGAUUUGGAAAGAAUGUAAAUGUAUUCGUAAGAAUAUGAAGUUGGUGUAAAAUCCAGAGAAUGUUUUUUAUCAUGUCUUUAUGAAGAAAUGCCAAUACAAACAAAACAAAAUAAAUCACCCAAAAGAAAUGAAAAUGCCGAAUCCUAUUACGCAAGAACGCGUAUUUUCUCGAAAAAUAUUUAAAAACUAAUUUAACGAGAAACCUAAGGAAAGAUUGGAAGGGAGACCCACAAAAUGAUGAUGACAACAGAAAGCAAAUAGGCUUUGUUGAUAUGAAUGCGACAUUUACGUUUUUUAAUUAAAUAAAUAAAUAAUUAAUUAAUUAACAGCUGCUUCAUAAAAACGGAGUCGAUACGGAUAGUUCAGUAAGCAACCUUAAUUGUGUCGAUGGAUAAAAUGCAUUUCUUACGGAAUGCUAGUAGGUAUUUUUGAAAGAAAAAAAAAAUUGAGAAUGUGCGCGCUAGAAGAGGAUAGGGAUUGUUUGGAUUUUCAGUUUGCCUAACCCCACUAUAACUCGCAUACAAAUACCGUAUAGCUAUAGCGAUAGCGAUGGCAGAGUAGUCGGCAUUCAUGCUUUUUGAUUAGCCUAGUUUACCUUACCCUAACCUACGGUGCGCUGGUGGCUAGGCUAAGUGAGAUGGCAAAACGUAGUUGAAGAUAGGCUGCAUUGCAUAUCUGCCAUGCGAAGCCAAAGCUACGCAACGCAAUGCGAUUCAGUAUACCAGUAAUUUCGCACAUUAACACAGGGAAAAUAGGACCGGUAUGUGGAGAAAAGGGAUGUAGCUUGUGUUUAAAAAAAGAAAAUCCGAUUUGAAAGUUUGAAGCUGGAAGCAGGAAAAUUUUCAAGCUGGACCAGGAAAAAUGAAAAAGUGCUAUAACAGGAGUUACGGCCGAUUUUAAGAUAUCGAGACAAAACAAUGUCGAGCCAAAGUAGUGUCGAGGCAAAUGAAAAAUAUUCCCAAAACUUGGAAGAAAAACUAGAAUGGCGCUAACAUAUACUGGAUUAUUUGUGUUUGAUGAUUGUUUGUCGAUUGUCAGUGUUGGAUAUUGUGAGAUAUGAACAUGAUAAAAGAACACAAUGAGAAAAGGUAGUUGAUGUGUAAAGACGACUUGUUGAAAAAAACACAAACACCAGGUUAGCUAAAGUUCAUGUGCCAAGAUUGGAUCGACAAUGUUUUGAUUGGCGGGAUGAUUGGUAAAGCGUUACAAGUUUUUCCUUUUGGUCUAGGACAUUUGUUAUUCAACUAUCAGUUUCAAUAGCCUAUACCCUACCCUAGCAGAAAAAAUUUGUAGCAAGAAAACAUGGUGAAAUUUUCGAGCUGACAAAGUAUGCUUGCUCAGUGAGGUCACAGACAACAAAAGAAAAAAAAAAGAGUACACAAAGUAAACAAUGGUGAGCAAGCAGCUAGCAUCGAGAAGGAAAUGAUGUUAAACAAAAACACCGAAAAAAACAUAAACGCGGCCGACUAAGCAACGUCUAUGAGAACAAACAAAACAGUAAUGAAAAGUUUCUCCAACUAAUAAUUGUAGGCCACAUA
rnacentral:lncRNA from 1 species